rnacentral:RNase_P_RNA from 1 species
GAAGCAAGCCGGGCAAUCGCUUUGAUUGAAAAAUCUAAGAGGAAAGUCCGAACACCGAAGGGCAGCGAGCCGGAUAACGUCCGGGCAUUGGGUUUGGCAACGAAUCGGAUGACGACAAGUGCAACAGAGAACAGACCAGCCAUUUCGAUUUUGGAUUUUGGAUUUCCGAUUGCGGAUUUCAAAACUAUUUCGGAGUCGGUGAUGGGUGAAACGGUGCGGUUCGCAAGAACUUAAAGUAAGAGCGCACCAGCGCGUUUGGUAACAAAUGCGGCUGGGUAAACUCCUCGCGGUGCAAGACCAAAUAGAAAAACGCUUUCGCGGGUUGCCCGCCUGCCUAGUCUGAAGCAAUUCGGGCGGCGUUUUCGGGUAGGUCGCUUGAGCGAUUCGGUAACGAAUCGCCUAGAUGAAUGAUUGCCGUUCGCUUUUUUUAGAGUGAACACAAAAUUCGGCUUACAGGCUUGUUUCGUUU